rnacentral:lncRNA from 1 species
UCUCACCUAACAAGUCUGGAGGUUAAAGGGGGAGGGGGACAGGGCUGGUUAUGUCAGUGGCCUCAGAACCCCCACUCCCAUCUUUCUAGUCUGUCUGUGGCUUUCCAGAUUGGAAAAAGAUUGCAGCAGCUCCAGGUGUUAGAAUUUUAGGCCAGAGGCCUGACUCUUGGCAUCUCCACAGAGCAGAUUCAGCUUUGCACCCCAAGAAAAAAAAAUCAAAUGGAAGAGGGUGAUGGUGGGGUAACAAAGGAACUUAUUUUCAGUGGGUCGACACAAGGAAGACAGGCCUAAGGACCACCGUAAAGCCAUCAACAGCAGCUUUGAGGCCAGGGUUGGGAGCUUUGCUGCAGAGGAACUCAUUUUUAUAAGUUAUAACAGACCAUACUCCCCAUUAACUGUCAUCCGUGAACUACAGCAUUGUCUGUAGUUCAUGUACAUAUUACUUCUAGUCAUUCCAACAACCAUAGAAGUUCUCCUGGCCCAGGCCAUGCCCAGGGUAAGUAUUGUGGCUGAAUGGCCUGAGGGACCCAGACUUCAUCUCUAGUGUGGCCUGGCUGUUCUCAGCGGCAUAGACCAAGGUGACUGCUCCAGGUUCCACUGUCAGGGGCAGAGAAGAGAAGGGAGUCCUGGACGAUGUACUCACUCCCUGAGGGCAGGAUCCUAGGGUCACAUGCAUAGCUUCUACCCACCAACCACUGCCCCGCACUCAAUCAGACCAUCACACCUGCAAGGGACACUGGGAAAUGGAGCCCAUAUUUUGGGCAACCUGUGACCAGCUAAAAAUGAGAUUAAAUUAUUGAGAGCAAAAAGAGAAAUGGUUACCUUU